rnacentral:lncRNA from 1 species
UGGGUUCAAUUUUUUGGUAAUAAUGUCGGGGACUUCCAUGUCACACCAAUGUAUAACUUUUCCAAUGAAUUUUCUAUUGCAUUCCUCGUAGUAAAGAUUCCAUAACUGCAAAAAAAAAAAAUCAGAUUUACACAGUCAUUAGUAACCAAAAUAAUAUUUAUAUCAUAAACAGUUUACCAAACAAAUACAUUGUAACCAAAACAACAUAUAAAAGUAACCAAAAUCUCAAUUGAGGGAAAAAGAAUGGUAUCCAAAUCAUAAGCUAACAGUAACAAAAAAUAUACUAAUGAAGUAACCAAACAGUUAUAUGUUAGUAACCAAAACAUAUAUUAAUGGUAACCAAUACAUAAACAACAUAUAGACCAAACAAAGUUUAGUCAACCCAUAUAUUAAGCAAAUAUAUUGUAACCAGAACAACAAAAAACAGUAAGCAAAAUCCCAACUCAAGGAAACAAAAAUGGAAUCCAAAUCAGAAACUAACAGUAACCAAAAACAUACUAAAUAAGUAACCAAAUAUUUAUAUGAUAGUAACCAAAACAUAUUUUAAUGGUAACCAAUACAUAAACAACAUGUACACCAAAAUCAGUUUAGUCAACCAUGUAUACUAAGCAAAUAAAUGGUAACCAUAACAACAUAAAAAAGUAACCAAAAUACCAAAUCAAGGUAACAAACAUGGUAUCCGAAUCUCAAGCUAACAGUAACCAAAACAUAAUGCAGAAGUAACCAAACAGUUAUAUGAUAGUAUCUAUUUUUUAUUGCUUGACGUAGCUACAACGUAAGCAUUACAUCAAGCCCCCAUAAAUUAGUCUAGUAUACUAAACAACAUGUAGUCCAAACUCAGUUUAGUCAAUCAAUGUAUACUAAGCAAAUACAUUGUAACCAAAACAACAUAUAAAAGUAACCAAAAUCCCAAUUGAGGGAAAAAGAAUGGUAUCCAAAUCAUAAGCUAACAGUAACAAAAAAUAUACUAAUGCAGUAACCAAACAGUUAUAUGUUAGUAACCAAAAAUAAUGUACAUGUGAGGGUACAUAAUGUACAUGUUAGAAUAAAAAUAACAGUAACCAAAAUCCCACAUCGAGGGCACAAUAAUAGUAGCCAAACCAUAAGGUAACAGUAACUAAAACAAAAUAAAGAAGUAACCAAAUAGUAAUAUGAAAAGUAACUAGAACAUGUUUUAAUGGUAACCAAAACAGAAACAACCUGUAUAUCCAAUUCAGUUUAGGCAACCCAUGUAUACUCUCACAUGUACAUUUAACAUUUGAUAUAUGUCCUGAUACAAGCUUGUAAAUAUCUGGUUACUACAAAAAAAUAAAAUGGUUACCCUUCUAUGCAUGUUUGGUUACCAACUGCACCUUUCAAACAAUGUAUUAGAAACAACUUAAUACGAACCAACAAAUAAUGUCAAUUAUACAAUCAAAUAUGUAAUUCCAUUUACAUAAGCUCCAAUAAACAUUACAUACUCACUAACCAUAACAAAUGGUUAUGUUUGAAGGACUUUACAAAAAUAAUACAUCAAUGUAUACUAAGUAAAUACAUGAUUUAUUAUGACUUGGGUUUUUUAUUUAUCUAUAUCAUAAAUAUUUACAUAGUGAUUAACAAAUAAGAGCAUACUAACCAAAAUAUAAUAUAACAAUUACACAGUAGUCAAAACAGACUAUAACAAAUAACCAACGUCCCAAAUUGACUGUACAAUAAUAGUUAUCAUAUCAUAAUAUAACAUUAACCAUACCAUAAUAAAACAAUAACCAAAAAGUUAUAUUAUAUAAUCUAAUGAUAACCAAAAUAUAAAUAACAUGUAGUACAAACCAUUUUAUGUAGUAAACAAAACAUGUAUACCAAAAAAAUAUACUAAAGAAGUAACCAAACAGUUAUAUGCUAGUAACCAAACCAUGUUUUAAUGGUAACCAACACAUAAACAACAUGUAGACCAAACCCAGUUUAGUCAACCAAUGUAUACUAAGCAAAUACAUUGUAACCAAACCAACAUAUAAAAGUAACCAAAAUCCCAAUUGAGAGAAAAAGAAUGGUAUCCAAAUCAUAAGGUAACAGUAACAAAAAAUAUACUAAUGAAAAAACCAAACAGUUAUAUGUUAGUAACCAAAACAUAUAUUAAUGGUAACCAAUACAUAAACAACAUGUACACCAAAACCAGUUUAGUCAACCAUGUAUACUAAGCAAAUACAUGGUAACCAUAACAACAUAAAAAAGUAACCAAAAUACCAAAUCAAGGUAACAAAAAUGGUAUCCGAAUCACAAGCUAACAGUAACCAAAACAUAAUGCAGAAGUAACCAAACAGUUAUAUGAUAGUAACAAUAACAAAAUUUAAAUUAGCACACCUUUAAAAAAAAUUUGGGUUGAAAAUAUCUUCUGGCUAUGAACUUGAGCUUCUGUCUUAACUACAAGAACAUCAAAAUCAGAAUCCAACUGCACAAACCCAAACAAAUUUCUUCAAGUCCUAAAUAGAA